rnacentral:rRNA from 1 species
UACGUAGGGUGCAAGCGUUAAUCGGAAUUACUGGGCGUAAAGCGUGCGCAGGCGGUUUUGUAAGACUGUCGUGAAAUCCCCGGGCUUAACCUGGGAAUGGCGAUGGUGACUGCAAGGCUAGAGUUUGGCAGAGGGGGGUAGAAUUCCACGUGUAGCAGUGAAAUGCGUAGGUAUGUGGAGGAACACCGAUGGCGAAGGCAGCCCCCUGGGUCAAAACUGACGCUCAUGCACGAAAGCGUGGGGAGCAAACAGG